rnacentral:rRNA from 1 species
UUAGAGUUUGAUCAUGGCUCAGGACGAACGCUGGCGGCGUGCCUAAUACAUGCAAGUCGAACGCGUCCCGGUUGAUGAAGUUGAGUGCUUGCACUUGAUUGAUUCAACUUGGUGACGAGUGGCGAACUGGUGAGUAACACGUGGGUAACCUGCCCCGAAGCGGGGGAUAACAUUUGGAAACAGGUGCUAAUACCGCAUAACAACCAAAACCUCCUGGUUUUGGUUUAAAAGACGGCUUCGGCUGUCACUUUGGGAUGGACCCGCGGCGUAUUAGCUAGUUGGUGAGGUAACGGCUCACCAAGGCGAUGAUACGUAGCCGACCUGAGAGGGUAAUCGGCCACAUUGGGACUGAGACACGGCCCAAACUCCUACGGGAGGCAGCAGUAGGGAAUCUUCCACAAUGGACGCAAGUCUGAUGGAGCAACGCCGCGUGAGUGAUGAAGGGUUUCGGCUCGUAAAACUCUGUUGUUGGAGAAGAACGGGUGUCAGAGUAACUGUUGACAUCGUGACGGUAUCCAACCAGAAAGCCACGGCUAACUACGUGCCAGCAGCCGCGGUAAUACGUAGGUGGCAAGCGUUGUCCGGAUUUAUUGGGCGUAAAGCGAGCGCAGGCGGUUUUUUAGGUCUGAUGUGAAAGCCUUCGGCUUAACCGGAGAAGUGCAUCGGAAACCGGGAGACUUGAGUGCAGAAGAGGACAGUGGAACUCCAUGUGUAGCGGUGAAAUGCGUAGAUAUAUGGAAGAACACCAGUGGCGAANGCGGCUGUCUGGUCUGCAACUGACGCUGAGGCUCGAAAGCAUGGGUAGCGAACAGGAUUAGAUACCCUGGUAGUCCAUGCCGUAAACGAUGAGUGCUAAGUGUUGGAAGGGUUUCCGCCCUUCAGUGCUGCAGCUAACGCAUUAAGCACUCCGCCUGGGGAGUACGACCGCAAGGUUGAAACUCAAAGGAAUUGACGGGGGCCCGCACAAGCGGUGGAGCAUGUGGUUUAAUUCGAUGCUACGCGAAGAACCUUACCAGGUCUUGACAUCUUCUGCUAACC